rnacentral:rRNA from 1 species
UAAGAGGUCCAGCCUGCCCGGUGACAAAGUUUAACGGCCGCGGUACCCUAACCGUGCGAAGGUAGCAUAAUCACUUGUUCUUUAAAUAGGGACUAGUAUCAACGGCAUCACGAGGGUUACACUGUCUCCUUUCCCCAAUCAGUGAAACUGAUCUCCCCGUGAAGAAGCGGGGAUAUAACUAUAAGACGAGAAGACCCCAUGGAGCUUUAAGCUCAACAGCACCUCUAUAAAAAUAUACCCCCGUAACCCAAGAGUCCUGUUUGUUAGCUUUAGGUUGGGGUGACCGCGGGGUAUAAUAUAACCCCCACGACGAAUAGGCCUAAAACCUUUAUCCAAGAGCCACUGCUCUAAGAAUCAUAAAAUUGACGUAAAAUGAUCCGAUUUUCGAUCAACGAACCAAGUUACCCUGGGGAUAACAGCGCAAUCCAUUUCAAGAGCCCCUAU